rnacentral:rRNA from 1 species
UACGUAGGGAGCGAGCGUUGUCCGGAUUCAUUGGGCGUAAAGAGCGUGUAGGCGGCCACACAGGUCUGCUGUGAAAACUCGAGGCUCAACCUCGAGCUGUCGGUGGAAACCGUGUGGCUAGAGUCCGGAAGAGGAGAGUGGAAUUCCCGGUGUAGCGGUGAAAUGCGCAGAUAUCGGGAAGAACACCCGUGGCGAAGGCGGCUCUCUGGGACGGUACUGACGCUGAGACGCGAAAGCGUGGGGAGCGAACAGG